rnacentral:rRNA from 1 species
GACGAACGCUGGCGGCGUGCUUAACACAUGCAAGUCGAACGGAAAGGCCCUGCUUUUGUGGGGUGCUCGAGUGGCGAACGGGUGAGUAACACGUGAGUAACCUGCCCUUGACUUUGGGAUAACUUCAGGAAACUGGGGCUAAUACCGGAUCGGAGCUCCUGCUGCAUGGUGGGGGUUGGAAAUUUUCGGCGGUUGGGGAUGGACUCGCGGCUUAUCAGCUUGUUGGUGGGGUAGUGGCUUACCAAGGCUUUGACGGGUAGCCGGCCUGGGAGGGUGACCGGCGACAUUGGGACUGAGAUACGGACCAGAGUCCAACGGGAGGCAGCAGUGGGGAAUAUUGCACAAUGGGCGGAAGCCUGAUGCGGCAACGCCGCGUGCGGGAUGACGGCCUUCGGGGUGUAAACCGCUUUCGCCUGUGACGAAGCGGGAGUGACGGUAAUGGGUAAAGAAGCACCGGCUAACUACGUG